rnacentral:tRNA from 1 species
GUGAGUGUAGCUCAAUUGGCAGAGCACUGGACUGUGGCUCCAGGGGCUGAGGGUUCGAGGCCCUUCACUCACC